rnacentral:tRNA from 1 species
GUGGCAUUAGCUCAGUCGGACAGAGCAACCGCCUUCUAAGCGGUUGGUUGCAGGUUCGAAUCCUGCAUGCCACGCCA